rnacentral:lncRNA from 1 species
CACCUUUUUGCGCGGCUGUUGGAGAUGCUCUAAUAUACUGUACACGAGAGUAUUCUCGUCAGGUAGUUGCCAAGGAGAUCGACCAAGCCGCUAGGCCGAUGGCUAACGACCUUGAGAACCAGAAUCUCCUCGACGAGCAGCUCGUGGCGCCGACGGAGCCCGGCGAGUGCGGCAGGCUGACGGUCAUCGGGCUCGUGGGCGUCCUGACUGUGUCGCUCACCAUCAUCGCCACGGCCCUGAUCGAUGUCUACUUGUACGACCACUCCCCUCACACCAGCAGGUUGACUGUCGCCGCGUUUGUGGUCGGGAUUCUAGUUGCCGUUGUCGCCGCGUGCUUCUGGGUCCUCUUCAUGGUCAUCCUUGGCGAUUGCGAGCUUGGGCAUCCGGAGGGACGUAGAUUCGUAGAUACAUUACUAUCGAUGUAGUUCUAGUUCGUGUACGCACUUAAUAGGCCAGUCAGGAUCUCGUCGAUUUGUUAUUUGAUCAAUUGAUAUAUGUAUGUAUAUACAUGUCUUUUUUUAAGAUCAAUUGAUAUAUGUAUAUACAUGUCUUUAGUUCAACGUACUGCUCACGUCUAGCACCCCCGA